UAAGAGUAAAAAGCGCCCGGGUGGCGCUGAGAAGCAUCGGGAAAAAAAGCUGAAGUCUCUGGAGGUGGAGGCUGCUAAAUGUGCCAAACUGACGGACCUGUUUGGUGCCGGGUUCACCAGCCCAGCAGCAGCAGAUGCGCCGGGAGACGAGCGAGGAGGACUCGACAAUGAUGAGCGAGUGAAGGCAGACAUGGUUGUUGUGAUAUAUUUGAGGAGUCGUUCUCCCUCUGUUUUAUAUGUGGACAUUUGGGACCACUGUUAGAAUUUGGUCGACCACUUGACAUGUGAGAGCCUGAGGAGUUGUUUUCCAGACACAGGUAGAGCUAACAGGGGCGUCACCCUGGGCCUGCCCUUUUGGGCUGGGCUUCAGCUGCAGAUCUAAAGGCUGCUUCCAGGGGCAUGGGGCCCUCAGCCUUUGUUUUUCUUUGCUUCUGCACCUUACAACAUACAUCACACCUUAUUUUCACACAUCCAAACACUGUUAACACCACUGACGCGUAACAUAUUUUACACAUCCCACUACGUAGUUAGAGCUAUCUUGAUUUGGAGUUAAAUAAAUUUACUUUUGGCUUGA